CGGCCUGUGUCCCUGUCCCUGUCCCCAUGUCCCUGUCCCUGUCCCCAUGUCCCUGUGUCCCUGUCCCCGUGUCCCUGUGUCCCUGUCCCCAUCCCGGUCCCCAUUCCCCUGUCCCUGUUCCUGUCCCCAGUCUCUGUCCCCUGACCCCAUCUCCAUGUCCCUGUCCCCAUGUCCCUGUGUCCCUGUCCCCAUGUCCCUGUCCCAUUCCUGUCCCUAGCCCCUUGUUGCUGUCCCUUGUCCCUGUCCCCAUCCCUAUCCCUGUCCCCAUGGCUGACCCCUGUCCCUGUGGCUGUCCCCUGACCCUGUCCCUGUCCCCUCUGUCCCCUGUGUCCCCAGGCAGGAGCCGCUGAGCGCGGAGCAGCGCCAGCGCUGGGCGCGGUGCCUGUCCCUGUGUCCCUGUGUCCCUGACCCUGUCCCUGUCCCUGACCCCGUGGCUGUCCCCCUGACCCCGUGGCUGUCCCCUGACCCCGUGGCUGUCCCCUCUGUCCCCUGUGUCCCCAGGCAGGAGCCGCUGAGCGCAGAGCAGCGCCAGCGCUGGGCGCGGUGCCUGGCCCUGUCCCUGUGUCCCUGUGUCCCUGUGUCCCUGUCCCUGUCCCCUGACCCCGUGGCUGUCCCCUGACCCCGUGGCUGUCCCCUGACCCUGUCCCUGUCCCCGGUGUCCCCAGGCAGGAGCCGCUGAGCGCGGAGCAGCGCCAGCGCUGGGCGCGGUACCUGGCUCGCCACGCCGUGACGGCCGCCCGCACCCUCACCCGCCUCUUCCUCGUCCACAGCGUCCCCGAGUCCCUCAAGGUGACACCGGGGGGGACACGGGGGACACCGGGGGGCACUGGGGACACCGGGGGGCACUGGGGACAUUGGGGGCAUCGGGGGCACUGGGGGCCUUGGGGACAUGGAGGACAGUGAGGACAUGAGGGGACAUUGGGGACACUUGUGGGGGUGUUUGGGACAUUGGGGACACUUGGGGGGUAUUGGGGACAUGGGGACACAGGGACAUUGGGGACACUUGAGGGAUAUUGGGGACAUUGGGGACACUUGGGGGGUGUUUGGGACUUUGGGGACACUUGGGGGGUAUUGGGGACAUUGGGGACACAGGGACAUGGGGACACUUGGGGACACUUGGGGGGUGUUUGGGACAUUGGGGACACUUGGGGGUAUUGGGGACACAGGGACACAAGGACACUGGGGACACUUGGGGACACUUGGGGGGUAUUGGGGACAUGGAGGACAGUGGGGACAUGGGGGGACAUUGGGGACACUUGGGGGUAUUGGGGACAUGGGGACACAGGGACAUUGGGGACACUUGGGGACACUUGGGGGGUAUUGGGGACAUUGGGGACACUUGGGGACACUUGGGGGGUACUGGGGGGACAUGUGGGGGACUAGGCUGGCCCGGAGGGUGUGGGUGGCCCGGGGGACACGGGGCUGUGGGUGGCCCGGGGAUGGGGUGCUGGUGCCGGUGGCGGUGCCGGUGACAGUGACAGUGACAGUGACGGUGGUGGCCCCCCCAGUUCGCCUUCCUGUUCUACCUGCUGACCUACGUGGGGGCGGCCUGCAACGGGCUGACGCUGCUGGCAGCGGGUGUGGUCUGCGCCUUCACCUUCCCGGUGCUCUACCGGCGCCACCAGGCCCAGAUCGACCAGUACACCGGCCUGGCCAGGAGCCACCUCAGCCACCUGCGGGCCAGGCUCCUGGCCAAGCUCCCGAGUGCCAAAGCCACCCCGCAGUGACAGCGACACCCUCGAGGUGACACCGACGGGCUGGGGGAGGGGUGGCCCGCCCCCCCCCCCCGUGUCCUUCCCCACCCCCAGAGCGGGGGGAGGGGUCAGACUUUAAUAAAAACUCUUGUGACAGACGGGGCUGGUGGCCAGGGGACACGGGUGGGGGGGGACAGGGUGUCCUGGGGGGCCGCGGGGACCCCCGACAUGGGUCUGCCAUUCGUUAUGUCCCCCAAUGUCCCCCCAGUGUCCCCAAUGUCCCCACAGUGUCCCCUUUUGUCCCCUCAGUGUCCCUCAAUGUCCCCUUUUGUCCCCCCAGUGCCCCCCUCAGUGUCUCUCAGUGCCCCCCAAUGUCCCCUCAGUGUCCCCAGUGUGUCUCCCAGUGUCUCCCAGUGCCCCCCAAUGUCCCCAAUGUCCCCAAUGUCCCCCCCGCCCCGCGGAAAGCGCGGGAACGCGGCGCCUCAAGCCCCGCCCCCUCCUGCCCUGGCCCCGCCC
ensembl:lncRNA